rnacentral:misc_RNA from 1 species
AACGCACAUUGCGCCCCCUGGUAUUCCGGGGGGCAUGCCUGUCCGAGCGUCAUUGCUGCCCUCAAGCACGGCUUGUGUGUUGGGUCGCCGUCCCCUUCCCGGGGGACGGGCCCGAAAGGCAGCGGCGGCACCGCGUCCGGUCCUCGAGCGUAUGGGGCUUUGUCACCCGCUCUGUAGGCCCGGCCGGCGCCUGCCGACCACCAACCUUUUUCUUAACCAGGUUGACCUCGGAUCAGGUAGGGAUACCCGCUGAACUUAA